CGUUUACUUGUGAUAUUUUUUACCGGAAGUGACAAAUUUCUGAAUAAAAUACCCCGAGGGUUUCAAAGAAAUGAUACAUUAUUUCAAACCAUGAAUACACAAUAAUAUUAUAGUCUACACAGCAAACUUUGGCUACCAGCUGUGAGAUUUGAAUAACCAUUAAUCAGUUAUCAAAUGCAUGUCCGCCAUUUUGAUGAUAAAACCGGAAGUGGAUAAAAUCAAGCUUGCCUCCAUAUCUAAUUUUGUUUAGAAUGGUCCAAACUAUGUUUCUACCAAAUUUUAUGCUUUUAAAUCAUAGUGCACAAUUGUUCACCUAUCUGCUGGGUAACCAUUAAUCAGUUAUCAAAUGCAUGUCCGCCAUUUUGAUGAUAAAACCGGAAGUGGAUCAAAUCAACCUUGCCUCCAUAUCUAAUUUUGUUUAGAAUGGUCCAAACUAUGUUUCUACCAAAUUUUAUGCUUUUAACACAAAGUGCACAAUUAUUCACCUAUCUGCUGGACUAAUAGUAUU
rnacentral:lncRNA from 1 species